UUGAACUCAGGACCUCAUGCUUGAGAGUCCAGUUGACGGUGGUGGGGAGAUUGAACCUGAGACUUUGGAGCCUCAGGCAUGAGACCCGACUCCCAACUAUUAGGCUUCUUACCCCUGCUCUUUCUGCCAUUCCCCCUGCCCUAGGCCCUUUGCCUGCACUAUUCCAGCAGUCUCCAUGGAAUUUCUUAUUUUAAAAAGAAAACACCACAGCAGUCUCUACCACCACUUGAGAAGCUUCCCCUUCCUCUGUGCUCCCAGCUGGUGGGCAGAGGCCGUCUGCUGGCAACCUUCCCUUCCUGUCCUGGGCAGUUUGUCCCAGUCUUUAUCACUCACUCACAAAUCAUGUCCUCAGUUUGUCCCAGUCUUUAUCACUCACUCACAAAUCAUGUCCUCAGACUGUUGUUCUUGCCCCUUUGUUUUUAUUUGUAUCCCUGGGAGUAUUUUUCAAA